rnacentral:rRNA from 1 species
UGGGGAAUAUUGCACAAUGGGCGAAAGCCUGAUGCAGCGACGCCGCGUGAGGGAUGACGGCCUUCGGGUUGUAAACCUCUUUCAGUAGGGACGAAGCGCAAGUGACGGUACCUGCAGAAGAAGCACUGGCUAACUACGUGCCAGCAGCCGCGGUAAUACGUAGGGUGCGAGCGUUGUCCGGAAUUACUGGGCGUAAAGAGCUCGUAGGCGGUUGGUCACGUCGUCUGUGAAAUCCUAGGGCUUAACCCUGGACGUGCAGGCGAUACGGGCUGACUUGAGUACUACAGGGGAGACUGGAAUUUCUGGUGUAGCGGUGGAAUGCACAGAUAUCAGGAAGAACACCGAUGGCGAAGGCAGGUCUCUGGGUAGUAACUGACGCUGAGGAGCGAAAGCAUGGGUAGCGAACAGG